AUUACCGCGGCUGCUGGCACGUAGUUAGCCGGUGCUUAUUCUUCCAGUACCGUCAUCCCCAUCCAGUAUUAAUGAAUGGGAUUUCUUCCCGGACAAAAGAGCUUUACAACCCGAAGGCCUUCUUCACUCACGCGGCAUUGCUGGAUCAGGGUUGCCCCCAUUGUCCAAAAUUCCCCACUGCUGCCUCCCGUAGGAGU
rnacentral:rRNA from 1 species